CGUGCUACAAUGGCCGGCACAGCGGGAAGCAGGGGCGACCUUGAGCGGAUCCCUCAAAGCCGGUCUCAGUUCGGAUUGCAGUCUGCAACUCGACUGCAUGAAGUUGGAAUCGCUAGUAAUCGUGGAUCAGCCAAGCCGCGGUGAAUACGUUCCCGGGCCUU
rnacentral:rRNA from 1 species